CGCGCGCGCACACACGCGGCGGUGUCUUGCGGGUGAUGAAUGUGAUAAUUGGACCGGGGCCGAUGGCAAACCUUUCCUACAGAAGCUGCCCAUCAGACCAGUGAAACCCGCAGGACAAAAAGUUCUAUUCAAGAAGGGAACAACAAGGAGGAAAAAAAGGUCAACAUUCCCAGGACAGAAGAGCUCCUUGGCACUGGAACCCUCCUGGUCCGGUGAGGGAGGGAUGAGGGUCGCUCGUGUAUGAGGAUACACAGCCAUCAUCCAAAACUUCCCAGUUCAGGUGGAAGGAAGAGGUUGGACCAGAACUUGGGAUCUGCGUUGCCCAAAGGAUGGUUCAGACGGUGUGAGUGAGUCACAGAAGAUGUGUCUAGGAGAUACUGUGGACUCAGUUCCAGACCAUCGCCAUAAAGCAAACAAUUCAAUAAAUCCCCACUGGUUUCAGAUUCUAGCACCACAGAAUGGAAGGAGUUUGGGUUCCUGAGUCACUACUUGGAAGAGAGCCUCCAAGGAGAGCUGCCAGAGUUGGACUGACAGUGGCCUGAGGGAGAAAUGAACCUAUGUGUGAGAUCAUCGAGAUGGUUGU